UACGAAGGGGGCUAGCGUUGUUCGGAAUUACUGGGCGUAAAGCGCACGUAGGCGGACUAUUAAGUCAGAGGUGAAAUCCCGGGGCUCAACCCCGGAACUGCCUUUGAUACUGGUAGUCUCGAGUCCGGAAGAGGUGAGUGGAAUUCCGAGUGUAGAGGUGAAAUUCGUAGAUAUUCGGAGGAACACCAGUGGCGAAGGCGGCUCACUGGUCCGGUACUGACGCUGAGGUGCGAAAGCUAGGGGAGCAAACAGG
rnacentral:rRNA from 1 species